AUAUUUUUGGAUUGUAUUGCACACUAAAUGGCCGCGCGCCGAGACAAAGACAGCAGCUCGAGCUCAUUAAUCUCUGUCGAGGGGAGCUCGGGUGCGAGCCGCGUGACUGAAGUAACGGCGCGUGCUGUCGGGACCGGCUUCCCGAGCCGCCUUUGAUUCCCGCGAAGCGAUCAAUCAGACCGAACCUCGGGACCGGGCCGCUUCUGCUAGAAGUACUAAUUACUCUGACACCGUUCCAGAGCGAACAUGAACACCUUCACUGUGUGAAGACGCGAGUCUGUGUCUCUGACCUGCUGAUAUAAACUCAUGAGAAAUAUUAUUUACACGCUUUCAGUGUUCAGGCGUUUGAUUCACAGAGAGGCCCAUCUCUCCCAGAUUUAUAAUUAUCACAGUCCUUACAAAAUAACAUAUCUACCUGUCAUUAGCAAGAAGCAGAUGAUAUGAAUGUCUGUUUCCACACAUUCAGGUGGGAUGUACUCUGAGAGCCUGUGCUGGUUCCUCUGGGAAUAUGAAGUGUGUUUGUGUUUCUGCAGCUCGGUUUGCGUUCGGUGUGAUCUUCUAAACUCAGGGCUGUUUCUGUGUGUUAUCGGUCGGUGUGUUGUGCGGAUCUUUUGUGAAGUAGCUGCUCCGGCAUUCUUUCAUUAUCUGGAGCAACAAAGAAAGUCUUUUGUUUGCAGUUUUCCUGCAGGCGCCUCCAUCCGUCCGUAACUUACUACUGUCCCCUGCUGGCCGUCCACAGCACUCUACAGGACCCCUGGCUCUGUGUGUGUGUGUGUGUGUGUGUUGAGCUGCAGUAAAUGUGUCUGGAGUAACACACACUGGACUGUGUUUGUAAUUGUGCUAAAACGCUGAGAGGAAGAGCUCAUCCGAACACCACGUUUGCUGGGGUUUUCUGCGGGGGGUUAAACGUCUCGGCUGACAGUUCACGGAUGUGCAGUCAGGUUACUCAUGUCAAAUGACCAAUUAAAGGGGCUAUAGAGGAUGGCAGGGCGGUCUCUAGUGCUGCGCUCUCACGGGACACCAAUCAAACGAGAGCUCUAUCACUCAAAUGUAAACUGGAUUCAUUCAUUAGCCAUUUACCAGCCCUAUCAUUAUUCAUUACACACAUGCACAGAGAGACGCGUCUGCCAGGGGACACAGCACAGAGCAAGAGACAGUUCUGCUGUGGCACUGCAUCCCAUUAAUUGACCCUUUUGGUGAGAUAUUAUUAAAAUGAUAGUUACAUUGAUUUUGAAGCAUGCAUUCUGGAUUUAGUAAAAACUCUAAAAACAUUUUUUAUUACUUAAAAAUUCCUCAGAAAUGAUAUUUUUGAACUAAAUCCUAAAAUUAAUGUCACAAUGGGUAAUAAAUGGCAAAAAUAUUCAAUAUGAGUGUGCACAUCUCAUAAUACUGAAGCGCUGCAAUUUAAGACAUUUACUUCAGAAUUAGAGCAUGCACUCUUGAUUUUGUAUAAACAGUGGUACAUUUGUAUUAUUUAAAGAUCCCUGUGGACUUUUAAUGAUCUUUUUGAACUAAAUUCUAAAAUUAAUGUCAUUACAGGUUUUAAAUAAUCAUUAUGAAUUUGCUCAUCUCAUAAUACUGAAGCACUGCAAUUUAAGACAUUAACAGAAGUGCCGUAUUCCUUUUACUCAGUGUGUGUGUGUGAGUGUGUCUCCC
ensembl:lncRNA